UACAGAGGGUGCGAGCGUUGUCCGGAAUCACUGGGCGUAAAGGGCGCGUAGGUGGCCUGAUAAGUAGGGGGUGAAAUCUCGAGGCUCAACUUCGAGGCUGCCUCCUAAACUGUCAGGCUUGAGCAGAGUAGAGGCAGGUGGAAUUCCCGGUGUAGCGGUGGAAUGCGUAGAGAUCGGGAAGAACAUCGGUGGCGAAGGCGGCCUGCUGGGCUCUUGCUGACACUGAGGCGCGACAGCGUGGGGGAGCAAACAGG
rnacentral:rRNA from 1 species